ACGAACGCUGGCGGCGUGCUUAACACAUGCCAGUCGAACGGAAAGGCCCUGCUUUUGUGGGGUGCUCGAGUGGCGAACGGGUGAAUAACACGUGAGUAACCUGCCCUUGACUUUGGGAUAACUUCAGGAAACUGGGGCUAAUACCGGAUAGGAGCUCCUGCUGCAUGGUGGGGGUUGGAAAGUUUCGGCGGUUGGGGAUGGACUCGCGGCUUAUCAGCUUGUUGGUGGGGUAGUGGCUUACCAAGGCUUUGACGGGUAGCCGGCCUGAGAGGGUGACCGGCCACAUUGGGACUGAGAUACGGCCCAGACUCCUACGGGAGGCAGCAGUGGGGAAUAUUGCACAAUGGGCGGAAGCCUGAUGCAGCAACGCCGCGUGCGGGAUGACGGCCUUCGGGUUGUAAACCGCUUUCGCCUGUGACGAAGCGUGAGUGACGGUAAUGGGUAAAGAAGCACCGGCUAACUACGUG
rnacentral:rRNA from 1 species